AGCAGAGUGGGGUGCAUGGAAGUGGCCUGGCCAGGCAAAGGGAAGUGGCUGCAGGAGUUCCUCUGCAGCCAUGUGUGCUUGACAUGCACAGAUCAGCCAAGAAUGCACACCAGCAGGUCAUUUGGAAACAGAUUACAAAACCUUUCUAACAAGCUUAUCAUGUGAAUUUCUGGUGCAAUCAUCCCCCCCUCUGUUUUCUGCAGACCUUACAUUUCCUGGGAAGGAGGAACUCUGUGCUGUCCCCAUGGAAUGGGAAGGACUUGGAUGCUUCACUAGGGCUUCUCUCUUCACCCCUCAUGAGCAGGUGUGCUGACCUUUGC
rnacentral:lncRNA from 1 species